ACUGGUUUUUCAAGGGUUAUUGCAACAACCUUUCCCAUUCCGAACAGGGUCUUGAAACAUAAUUCCGCCGAAGAUACUAGAAUGCAGAUUCUGGGGAAAAUAGGCCAAAGCCGGUA
rnacentral:rRNA from 1 species